UUGGCCAGGAGACAAGGAUUUUGAGUCUAAUUAGUUUUUCAUAAACUCUUGUCGUGGUCCAUAACAUAGAAAAUUUCAGCCUCUCUUUUUGCCAAAAAUAGCUUUACGCGUGUUUCCACGCGUCUCUCUCAUUUAUGCAAACUACCAUCUCUCUUGCGUUUCCAACUUCUCUUCUACAUCAAUCCAUCAGUUUUUUAUUUUCUUUCAAUCACUGUAUCUCUUCUCCGGCGACGUUUCUUUUUUCGCCGUUGUUUCUAUUUCUCACAGUCGCCAAGAAUUUUCAUCUUCUUUUACGGACCAUAGCGGAUCUAGACCUUCCUGCUAGAUUAUUCGCCGAUCGAGAAGAAUAUGUGGGUGAACGUGUUAACCAGUACUUCAAGCUACACAUGGUUAAAGCUGUCCUGAAGGCUUUACAACCGUCGAAGCUUGAAUUGAUUCGGCCGUGUUUUGGGAAAUUGCUCGAUUCACAUCGCCAUUGUUUAUUCAUCGGUAAAAGAUAACUUUCACGAUACAAAUAAGGAUGUAAAACAUUUUUUGGAUCUUCACAAAUAGAUCUACAAUGUAUAGAUGCAGAUCUAAGGAUAUUUGUGGAAAUAGGUCAAGAUUUAGAGAAAUACACUAUAAUACCAAAACAAGAAAUUUUAGAGUGAAAA